ACUCUUCAACCCACCGGUUCCUUGCUGAACCGAGUUGGUGUUUGGAUUUUGAGCUUUGCUAUUUAUUUAGCUAGCUCGUAAUAUAUUAGCAUCUUUCAAUUUCAUAAUCGGAUUGACUCAGCGUAAUAGACUAUUCGCUGAGGACACUUUUACUAGUGGCCGGUAAUGGAGAUAGAGAAGCUUCCAACUCUUCUAGUCAACUUUAG
rnacentral:misc_RNA from 1 species